AAAAAAAUAAAAACAACGAGAUGAAGGGAGAAAAUAAACAGUCAGGAAAAUUAAUUCGACUGGAUAAGAAAAGAAAUACAAAUGGCAGAUUUCCAUACAAAAGUGAAGCGGAUGAUGAUGAUAAAGAAACGACCAAAUGUUUGGAUGUUUUUGUGGAAUUCUUCCGUAGAAUUCCAUCUCUCAUCUGCUGUUGUUUUAAAAGAAAAAAGUAAAAUGGCGGAAUGUACAUCGUCUAUAUUUUAAUGGUUUCAUUCCGUUAAACUCAAAGAAAAAAGAAAAAACAGUUAUAUUUUACUUCAUAUUAUUAGGAAAAUUUAUCGUUUCUAUAAUUAUAACGAAGGCACAUUACAAAAUUUAUUGGUGAAAAAAUCCGGUGUGCAACUUUAAUCGGCAGGCGCCCUGGUAUCAUCUGCUCUGUACUUUCGGCUGAAUUAUUAAUGCUUAAAUAAAUACAGAGCGAAAAAUAACUUCUACUACAUUCGUGCAAUGUUCGAAUGAAAUUUUAAGGAAAAAAUAAAAUGAAAAGUUUAAAAAAAAUUCGAAUCAACUUUCAAAAUUCUACAGAUCACAUUUUUAAAAAGUUUCAUAAAAAUGUUAAGGUGUUCCUUUCUGGAGACGUCAUUGAAAUGCUUGUCUUUCCAAGGGCAGAAUGAAAAAGAUAUAAGGAAGAAUUGACGAAGUGGUCCUAUGGGGAGACGUCAUUAAAAUGCAUGUCUCUACAUGGGAAGAAAGAAAAAGGUAUAAUGAAGAAUUAACAAGGUGGCCCUUCGGGAAGACGUCAUUAAAAUGCUUGUCUUUCCAAGGGCAGAAUGAAAAACAUAUAAGGAAGAAUUGACGAGAUGGUCCUAUGGGGAGACGUCAUUAAAAUGCUUGUCUCUAGAAGGGAAGAAAG